rnacentral:lncRNA from 1 species
AAGUGUGCUCUGUUGGGCUUUCGCAGCUGGGUGUGGCUUGCUUCAAUCCGGGAGGGAAAGAGUCCCUUGGUUUUUAACUACAGCCUUAGGUUGGACAGUGAGUUUGAAGUUGUAGAGCCCUAAACCUAGUGGGGAAUCAGCCCAAAACCUAGUGGGGAGCCAGCCCUGUUGGGUUUGAGGAGUGAGCAAGGAAGGCUUCCAGGUCUCCCCCGCUGCCCGUGGAAACCUGUUUUCCAUGAGCACUUCAGAGCUGUGCAAGUCCCGAUUCUCAUGGGGAAGCUUGGCUAUCACUUUUUGACAGAAUCUGAAGCUUUAAAAUAGAACAAAGGAACGCUGCUCUGCAAAUGAGGCUACCUGUAGUUUGUGCAUCUGCCCUGUCUGAGCGAGGGUUCAGGAGACUGCAGGUUUAGGCAGACUCCCAGCUUGCAUGGCUGCACUUUUCCAAAAGCCCAAGCUCCAGGGAAAAGACCUGGACGAUCAUCUAGCACCUUGAGCCUGGAAAUUUUUACUCCAUUUUCCAGUUUCCACUACCAGAGCCAAAUGCCCUUGGCACGUGUGAUAACUAAACCGUUUUUCUGUAUAGGAAAGGAAAUGGGGUUAGAGAUGUUUCUAUUGAACUGAACUCUGCUGUGUAUGAGGAAUGUGCAUAAGCAUGGGAAGCCAAAGUCAUUUUGUAAAUUUAUAUUCGCGUGGGACAGAUGUGGGGUAGUGGAGGCUGGCCUUUUACUCAGGUCCUAAAGUCCUGUUAGGGAGAAGAGAUUGUGGAUACAUUUGACAUCCAGCAACCUACAUACUUGAGUGUGGACUGUAUGUGUCUCUGAAUAGGGAGUUAUGGGUCACCAAAUAUGAGGGAAAUGGCUUGGAGAACCAGAAAGCUAGGAAGGGAGGGGAUGGCAUGCAUGUUUGCUGAGCCAAGCAUUCAUUGGACCCACUAUCCACAGGGAGAAACGUAGUUGAAUCCUAACCAUCAAACUGAUUAUGCACAUAGGCCCUGGGAGCAACUGGUGUUUGCCUUGUGGAUUCACCUCUUGCUAGCUUGUACAUAAGGGAGACAUUUAGUAUCUCAGAGCCUAAAAUUCUUCAUUCACAAAAUCUGAAAAUGCCUAGUGAACUGGCUGGCUUGGUGGUUAACUUUACGUAAGCUAGAGUCAUUAGACAGGGAGGAGCCUCAGUUGAAAUGCUUCCAUGAGAUCCAGCUAUAAGGCAUUUUCUCAAUUAGUGAUCAAUGGAGGAGGGAACAGCCCAUUAUGGGUGGUGCCAUUCCUGGGCUGGUGGUCCUGGGUUCUGUAGGAAAGAAGACUAAAUAAGCCUUGUGAAACAAGCCAGUAAGCAGCACCCUUUAUGGCCUCUGCAUCAGCUCCUACUUCCAGGUUCCUGCCCUGCUUGAGUUCUUAUCCUGACUUCCUUUGGUGAUAAACAGUGAUGUGGACGUGUAAACCAAAUAAACUCUUUCCCCACC